rnacentral:rRNA from 1 species
UACGGAGGGUGCGAGCGUUGUUCGGAUUUACUGGGCGUAAAGGGCGCGUAGGCGGCCACCGCAAGUCAGUUGUGAAAUCUCUGGGCUUAACCCAGAAAGGUCAACUGAUACUGCGGGGCUAGAGUGCAGAAGGGGCAACUGGAAUUCUCGGUGUAGCGGUGAAAUGCGUAGAUAUCGAGAGGAACACCUGCGGCGAAGGCGGGUUGCUGGGCUGACACUGACGCUGAGGCGCGAAAGCUAGGGGAGCGAACGGG